rnacentral:rRNA from 1 species
UACGUAGGGUCCGAGCGUUGUCCGGAAUUAUUGGGCGUAAAGGCUCGUAGGCGGUUUGUCGCGUCGGGAGUGAAAACCAGGUGCUUAACACCUGGCCUGCUUUCGAUACGGGCAGACUAGAGGCAUUCAGGGGAGAACGGAAUUCCUGGUGUAGCGGUGAAAUGCGCAGAUAUCAGGAGGAACACCGAUGGCGAAGGCAGGUCACUGGGCCGCAACUGACGCUGAGGAGCGAAAGCAUGGGGAGCGAACAGG